rnacentral:rRNA from 1 species
UGGAGGGGGAUAACUACUGGAAACGGUAGCUAAUACCGCAUAANGUCGCAAGACCAAAGAGGGGGACCUUCGGGCCUCUUGCCAUCGGAUGUGCCCAGAUGGGAUUAGCUAGUAGGUGGGGUAACGGCUCACCUAGGCGACGAUCCCUAGCUGGUCUGAGAGGAUGACCAGCCACACUGGAACUGAGACACGGUCCAGACUCCUACGGGAGGCAGCAGUGGGGAAUAUUGCACAAUGGGCGCAAGCCUGAUGCAGCCAUGCCGCGUGUAUGAAGAAGGCCUUCGGGUUGUAAAGUACUUUCAGCGGGGAGGAAGGCGAUAAGGUUAAUAACCUUGUCGAUUGACGUUACCCGCAGAAGAAGCACCGGCUAACUCCGUGCCAGCAGCCGCGGUAAUACGGAGGGUGCAAGCGUUAAUCGGAAUUACUGGGCGUAAAGCGCACGCAGGCGGUCUGUCAAGUCGGAUGUGAAAUCCCCGGGCUCAACCUGGGAACUGCAUUCGAAACUGGCAGGCUAGAGUCUUGUAGAGGGGGGUAGAAUUCCAGGUGUAGCGGUGAAAUGCGUAGAGAUCUGGAGGAAUACCGGUGGCGAAGGCGGCCCCCUG